CGAAAUGUAUAUACUGUGGGUUAAACAUAUUUUAAUCUGUUGCAGAGGAUGAAUACCAGACGUGUUUAACCCGGUUGAAUUUUUUUAUCAUCCCUGUUAGGAUUUUUUUUUUUAGUUUUUUUUCUUAUCAUGUUUGAUAGUUCACUGGUUAGGAAGAACCGUAGCUGAUUAGUAAUCCGGUUUACACUCAAUUUGGAUCCGCUAUCGUGUCGAUCCAAAAUUUAAUAUGAAGCAAUUAUUAUUUCAACCAUUCACAAAC
rnacentral:lncRNA from 1 species